GGCGGGGCGGGGGUGGGGAGGAAGUGCUGUUCUCUCCCUGUCGGUGCAGCGAUGCUUCCAGAAGCUAUAACUUCUUCAAAGCCACAGUUUGAAGACUUCCACCUCACAGACUCAUCAUCCAUGUCACCAGGGAACUGGAAUCCUGACUCAGCUGAAAGUAACUCCACUCAGCCAUCUUUCUCUCCUGCAGAGCCUGAAGGUACCCACAGUAUACGGAGCAAAAAGUGUCUCCAUGAUAUUUAUGGGAAGACGGAAUGCAAGAAGGAGAGCCCAGGAAGAUUGGCCUGGAAGAUGUGACCCACCUCCCAUGUCUGCAGCUAUGCUCACCAACCUGUGUGAAGAUCUGUGAAGUCCUAGUCUGCCCUGCUCUGUGAUAUGUGCAUAUCUUUAGUGACUUGGGCAGCCCCUCCUUGGCCGUGAGCCACAUGUGGCACCACCUUUUGGCCAUUUGCCCACUAGUGCCACCUCCUUCCAUCGCCAAAGCAGUGGGAUCACUGGAUUUGCAUUUGGCUACCAGAUGUUGCAGGAAGGAAUUGAAGAGACAGACACAACUCAGCACCAACUCUACCCUUAUCUUGGGGAACCCCUCUAUUCCAAUCACCCCCGUGCUCGGACAGAGAAUAUUGUGUCUGUUUGGUUCGUUGUCUUCAAAGAUUAGCACUCAUUGUCAAUUUGAUGACACAACCUAGACUCACCUGGGAAGAGUCUAAAUAGGGGAUUGUCUGUUUAGAUUGGGUUGGGGACCUGUCUGUUGGGGAUUUCCUAAUUACUUUAGCUGAUAUGUGAAGACCCAGCCCACUGUGGGCAGCACCAUUCCUUAGUUAGGAGGUCUUCGACUGUAUAAGAGUGGAGAAAUGAAGUUGAAGGUGAGAAGCAACAGGAUCAACAUGCAGGCACUCAUUUCUCUGCGCAUGACUGGAUGUCACAUGACCAGCUCCUAUCUUGACUUCUCCACAACAGUUGAACUAUAACCUGGAAUUGUAAGCCAAAAGUAAGCCCCUUUUGCUCCUAA
rnacentral:lncRNA from 1 species